rnacentral:rRNA from 1 species
UACGUAGGGUGCAAGCGUUGUCCGGAAUUAUUGGGCGUAAAGAGCUCGUAGGCGGUUUGUUGCGUCGGCUGUGAAAUCCCGAGGCUCAACCUCGGGUCUGCAGUCGAUACGAGCAAACUAGAGUGUUGCAGGGGAGACUGGAAUUCCUGGUGUAGCGGUGAAAUGCGCAGAUAUCAGGGAGGGAACACCGGUGGGCGAAGGCGGGACUCUGGGCCGAUACUGACGCUGGAGGAGCGAAAGCGUGGGGAGCGAACAGG